rnacentral:rRNA from 1 species
CCCUUAGAGUUUGAUCCUGGCUCAGAAUCAACGCUGGCGGCGUGCCUAACACAUGCAAGUCGAACGCGAAAGCCCCUUCGGGGGUGAGUAGAGUGGCGUCCGGGUGAGUAACACGUGGGUAAUCUACCUCCGGGUGGGGAAUAACUUGCCGAAAGGCGAGCUAAUACCGCAUAACGCAGCGGCACCUGAUGGUGAAUAGUUGUUAAAGCGGGGGACCGGCAACGGCCUCGCGUCUGGAGAGGAGCCCGCGGCCGAUUAGCUGGUUGGUGAGGUAACGGCUCACCAAGGCUGCGAUCGGUAGCUGGUCUGAGAGGACGGCCAGCCACACUGGCACUGACAUACGGGCCAGACUCCUACGGGAGGCAGCAGUGGGGAAUUUUGGGCAAUGGGCGAAAGCCUGACCCAGCAACGCCGCGUGAAGGAGGAAAUCCUUCGGGAUGUAAACUUCACAAGCAAGGGAAGAGCGCAAGCCAUAUAAUACAUGGCUUGUCCGACGGUACCUUGCGUAAGCCACGGCUAACUACGUGCCAGCAGCCGCGGUAAUACGUAGGUGGCAAGCGUUGUUCGGAAUUAUUGGGCGUAAAGGGCGCGUAGGCGGCCUGUUAAGUCAGUCGUGAAAGCCCGGGGCUCAACCCCGGAGGGUCGACUGAUACUGGCAGGCUAGAGUACGGAAGAGGUAGCUGGAAUUCCCGGUGUAGCGGUGAAAUGCGUAGAUAUCGGGAGGAACACCUGAGGCGAAGCGGGCUACUGGGCCGAUACUGACGCUGAGCGCGAAGCCAGGGGAGCGAACGGGAUAGAUACCCCGGUAGUCCUGGCCCUAACGAUGGA